GACCUUAUAAAGACAUCUUUGCUGAAAAGUCUUUCAGUGCCCAGCCGGUGAGAUCAUUACACACUUAGGAGAUUUACUGUGAAGUUUAAUGAUAACUGCACUCUCAUCUAUUGAGUAAAAGGAAGAUCUGUUGCUCCUUCUUGAAACCUGCAGAAUGGAAAUUACCUGGUUAGAAAAUUUUCACAAUUUUUACCCCACUUUUUAUCCAAAUCCCACCAAUGAACUUCUACAUGAAAUAAAAAAUGCAAUAGAUGCCUAUUACAUGCAGUAGAAGCUAUUGCAUGUCAUAGACCACUACCUGGACAGCAAAAAUGAAGCCUAAUCCCUGUGACCCAAAAACCCCUCAGUACCAAUUGGCAAGAAGGUACAAGAAUAUCUUGGUUCACCAAAGAAUAUCAUACAAGGAUCAAAGGAAAGCCAGUGUCAUGUUGGUUAUGAAUAUCAUUGUAAAAGGUAUGUACUGCUAUUGGAGGGUUGCCAAGUUUUCAAUUUCUCAAAACAGGACACUACAAAACUGAACCCUCCUGCCCCCAACCAAAGCUCAACUCACCAUAAAGAGAAGAGGGAUGCUGAAGGGGACCAUGUCUCUCCUGCUCCUUCCAGCAGCAGCUCUGAGGCAGAGUUCAAAGGGAGAUAUGGGGGCAGGAAGCGGGGGGGA